UAAUGCAGGCAAUAUCCUUGAGAGAGGCGGAAGAUGUUGCAUCUUUGCAGGAGAAGUUGGGCCGGACACUGUCAAAGGCAGAAAUAAGUAGAAUAGGUGUAAGCAAACUCAGAUUAUUCUUGAAAGAAUUGCUGCGGAAAAGGUAUAUGGAUAGCGUUCCACUGAUCAUUCCACUUCUAGAAAAGGAGUACAACAACACAACAAGAAAGCUGAAUGAAAUUAAUCGGGAACUCAGCACCCUGGAUGAAGUAAAAUUAAAGGAGAAAGGACGAGCAUUUCAUGAUCUAUUCUAGACCAAGUUGUCGUUGCUAUUGAAAGGGACAUUUGUUGCUCCAGAUAAACUUGGUGAAACACUACAAGACGAGAGAAUUAAUGGAGGGGCAUUUGUUGCUUCUGAUGGUGUUCAUUUUCCUCACAAGCUAAUACCUAAUGUGGGAAUGCAUCUUUACGGGGGGUGCACAGUAUCACCGUGCCAUGGCUGAAUUUCGUUUUGUAGUUGGGGGCAUUAAAUGCCUUCCAAUUACGCAGGAAGAAAUUGUAAAUGCUUGUGGUGUAGAAGAUAUUCAUGAUGGAACAAACUACUCAAGGACUGCUUGUGUAAUAGCUGUUGCAAAGGUUAGGGACACAUUUGAACCUUUUCUUCAUCAGUUGGGUGGUAGACUGCUGCACAUUCUGAAGAGAUUGCUUCCUAUCUUCUUCAAAAAGAUCGCGAGCAUUUAAGUGGCCAUGAAGUGUUUCACAGACGUGUUGCUACUGCCUUUAACAACUUUGCUGAAUCCACUGAAAGAGCUUGC